CCCUUAGAUGUUCUGGGCUGCACACGUGCUACACUGGCAGGUUCAGCGAGCUUCAUGCCCUGAUCUGAAAGGAAUGGGAAAUCUUUUCAAAACCUGCCGUGCUUGGGAUAGAUGUUUGCAAUUAUUCAUCUUCAGCGAGGAUUGCCUUGUAAGCGCACGUCAUCAGCGUGCAUUGAAUACGACCCUGUAUUCUGUACACACCGCCCGUCGCUCCUACCGAUUGAAGUUUUCGGUGAGUUGACAGGAGGAUUUUUUUGAAACUGGUUCGCCAGUGGAUUUUAGAUCCAAAUGCCAACGAAUCGAUGGCUUUAGAGGAAGGAGAAGUCGUAACA
rnacentral:rRNA from 1 species